rnacentral:rRNA from 1 species
UGGGGAAUAUUGCACAAUGGGCGAAAGCCUGAUGCAGCAACGCCGCGUGAGUGAUGAAGGCCUUCGGGUUGUAAAGCUCUGUCUUUUGGGACGAUAAUGACGGUACCAAAGGAGGAAGCCACGGCUAACUACGUGCCAGCAGCCGCGGUAAUACGUAGGUGGCAAGCGUUGUCCGGAUUUACUGGGCGUAAAGGAUGCGUAGGCGGAUUUUUAAGCGAGAUGUGAAAUACCCGGGCUUAACUUGGGUGCUGCAUUUCAAACUGGGAAUCUAGAGUGCGGGAGAGGAGAAUGGAAUUCCUAGUGUAGCGGUGAAAUGCGUAGAGAUUAGGAAGAACACCAGUGGCGAAGGCGAUUCUCUGGACCGUAACUGACGCUGAGGCAUGAAAGCGUGGGUAGCAAACAGGAUUAGAUACCCUGGUAGUCCACGCCGUAAACGAUGAGUACUAGGUGUAGGAGGUAUCGACCCCUUCUGUGCCGCAGUUAACACAAUAAGUACUCCGCCUGGGAAGUACGAUCGCAAGAUUAAAAACUU